rnacentral:piRNA from 1 species
UGAAAUGACCACUGGCUUGGACAUAGGGA